rnacentral:rRNA from 1 species
GACAGAGGUGGCUAGCGUUGUUCGGAUUCAUUGGGUGUAAAGGGUAGGUAGGCGGUCAUGAAAGUCUGAUGUGAAAUCCCAGGGCUCAACCCUGGAACUGCAUUGGAAACUUCAUGGCUUGAGUAUCGUAGAGGUGAGGGGAAUUCUCGGUGUAAGGGUGAAAUCUGUAGAUAUCGAGAGGAAUACCAGAGGCGAAGGCGCCUCACUGGGCGAUUACUGACGCUGAGCUACGAAAGCAAGGGGAGCAAACAGG